CGGCGUACGGGUGCGGAACACGUGUGCAACCUGCCUUUAUCAGGGGGAUAGCCUUUCGAAAGGAAGAUUAAUACCCCAUAAUAUAUUGAAUGGCAUCAUUUGAUAUUGAAAACUCCGGUGGAUAGAGAUGGGCACGCGCAAGAUUAGAUAGUUGGUGAGGUAACGGCUCACCAAGUCAGUGAUCUUUAGGGGGCCUGAGAGGGUGAUCCCCCACACUGGUACUGAGACACGGACCAGACUCCUACGGGAGGCAGCAGUGAGGAAUAUUGGACAAUGGGUGAGAGCCUGAUCCAGCCAUCCCGCGUGAAGGACGACGGUUCUAUGGAUUGUAAACUUCUUUUAUACUGGGAUAAACCUACCCUCGUGAGGGUAGCUGAAGGUACAGUAUGAAUAAGCACCGGCUAACUCCGUGCCAGCAGCCGCGGUAAUACGGAGGGUGCAAGCGUUAUCCGGAUUUAUUGGGUUUAAAGGGUCCGUAGGCGGAUCUGUAAGUCAGUGGUGAAAUCUCAUAGCUUAACUAUGAAACUGCCAUUGAUACUGCAGGUCUUGAGUAAAGUAGAAGUGGCUGGAAUAAGUAGUGUAGCGGUGAAAUGCAUAGAUAUUACUUAGAACACCAAUUGCGAAGGCAGGUCACUAUGUUUUAACUGACGCUGAUGGACGAAAGCGUGGGGAGCGAACAGGAUUAGAUACCCUGGUAGUCCACGCCGUAAACGAUGCUAACUCGUUUUUGGGUUUUCGGAUUCAGAGACUAAGCGAAAGUGAUAAGUUAGCCACCUGGGGAGUACGUUCGCAAGAAUGAAACUCAAAGGAAUUGACGGGGGCCCGCACAAGCGGUGGAUUAUGUGGUUUAAUUCGAUGAUACGCGAGGAACCUUACCAAGGCUUAAAUGGGAAUUGACAGGUUUAGAAAUAGACUUUUCUUCGGACAAUUUUCAAGGUGCUGCAUGGUUGUCGUCAGCUCGUGCCGUGAGGUGUUAGGUUAAGUCCUGCAACGAGCGCAACCCCUGUCACUAGUUGCCAUCAUUCAGUUGGGGACUCUAGUGAGACUGCCUACGCAAGUAGAGAGGAAGGUGGGGAUGACGUCAAAUCAUCACGGCCCUUACGCCUUGGGCCACACACGUAAUACAAUGGCCAGUACAGAGGGCAGCUACCAGGCGACUGGAUGCG
rnacentral:rRNA from 1 species